UGUGAUGCCCUUAGAUGUUCUGGGCUGCACGCGCGCUACAAUGGCACAUGCCCCAAUGUACCUAUGUCUGACAAGAACAUAGGAUCAAGCAACGAUGCCGUGCCGGGAAUAGAUGAUUGUAAUUUUUUAUCUUGAACGAGGAAUUCCUAGUAAGAACAGAUCAACAAUCUGUGCUGAUUACGUCCCUGCCCUUUGUACACACCGCCCGUCGCUCCUACCGAUUGAGUAAUCCGGUGAAUGGUGACGAUUGUUCGAACGCUCCUGAGCCUCGUGCAACAAGCAUCGUUAACCUCACUACUUAGAGGAAGGAGAAGU
rnacentral:rRNA from 1 species